AUUUCAUCUCCCUUCAAUUUGUUUUGAUUCUUCUAUUUUUUUUCUGACCCUCCUCUUUUUUUUCUAUUUCCUGCCUAUUUUUUCUGGUACCCUACAUUUUUGACAAGCUCCAAUUUUUUCUGACUCUCAAAUUUUUUUGGUCCUCUCUACUGACUCUUUCCUGACUCUCUCUAUUUUUUUGUGACUCCUUCUAAUUUUCCUGACACCCUCCAAUUUUUACAGACGUACUCUAAAUUAUUUUUAUUGCACUAAAGGAGAGUUCACUUCUAGAGUGACCGAAACCGACGGAUGGGGAUGGUGGAUCAUCUCUAAAUCGAAAUAAAACAUAAGCUGAUUUAAUUUUUUAUUUUGCUCAUAUUUUGAGUACACGGAAUCAACUUUACUUUCGUUGGAACUUUUCCUAGACGAAUAGACGGAAUGUGGCUGCAUAUUUUAGACCCUUUUGUCUCCAUUAUUCGUCGUCUCCUUGUCUUAUAAAUUGUAAAAGGCAGAGAUUGAGAAUGUUACUAGAAAAUGAUUCCACGAGAAUUUUCAGAUUUAUUGUUUAGAUUUGGGACUUCCCAUUUCUCUCCAAGGAUAAAGUCAUUUAGCAAAUUUUGUUUUAAAGUAUAAAAAUUAAGCUUCAAAAUGAGUCUUUGUAUUGCCCAGUUGCAUGGGUCAAAGCCAACUUAUGAUUAAAAUAUUAUAUUAUAAUAACAAUAAAUAAUAUAAUGCUUUAAAAAUAUCUCUCACUCUUCAAAACUAAGUGUGGAGUAGUAACCGCCCAGUAUCAGUAGUAUAAUAAGCCAGAUAGUAGAGACGUCAUAAUGAUGUAUAAUAAAUACAAAACGUUAAUAUAAUUUCAUAAAAACGGUGUCAUCAAAGAUAUAAAAAUGAUCGUAUUUCUUGUGUUAAUCAUCAUUUCCCUCAUAGCAAUUACAGCAGCAACAUGAGGAUUACAUAUUUUAUUGUAUUUGUGCUAGCCUUUGUGGCAACUGGAAUAUACCAAGUUGAAGCAGGAAGGUCAUCUAAACCAGUCACCCAAGCACCAGGAAGAAAACACGGCCAUUAAUAGCCUUAUUUUAAUAUUAAUUUAUAUUAAUGCAUUUUAAUAUUUUAACGUACAAAUACAAUAAAAAUGUUAUUUGACUGAAAAA